UUCUAAAUUUUUUUAUUCAAAAAAUUAAAUUAUAGAAAAAUAUUUUCUAUAAUUUUUUUGACUAAGUUAGAGAAAACUCUCUGUCAAUACAUUUUUUUUUACUUUUCCCUUCUGUCAUUAAAAAACUUAUAUUUUACAUCAUUAAAAAAUAAAAAGUGUUCACUUUGAUCUCCGCGGUUAGUGUUUCAUUAUAUCUUAUUUUUUAUACCCAAAAUAUUUUUGAAAUACUCAUCCACGCCCACACAUAUAUCCUCGGCCGCCGCCUCGCCUCGCCCACCCCUCUGUCCAUGUCCAGACACACACUCUCGCCCUCUUUUGCCGCCGGGAUGAGCAAAAUUGGGAAGGAGGAGAAGAAAAAGAUAAGGAUAAUUUAAUUAUUUUGUCACAUCGUAUUUUUCUAUGAAUAUUUUUUAUUUUUUAAGUGAACAAAGUAUAGAUUUUUAAAUAAAAAAGUAGAUAUUGACAGAAAAAUUUUAUGUAACUUUGCCUUUUUUUUUUUUUCCCGGAAAGUUUUCUUCAAAUUUAGAAGAUCCAAAGAUUCCAAACGCCCUCGGAGGGCUUGCAACCUCGUAAGGACCUCGUCGGACAUCAGUCCGUCCAAGAGGAGAAGAAGGACAACAUUGAAAGGCGUUUAUAGGACGGACAAAAUGGAAAAGUGUUAAAAAAAAGAAAAAAAAAAGAAAAGAAAAAGAGGGGACAAAUUUAUUAAGGUAAAAUUGUACAGAAAGUUUUUUUUGAACAAUCCCUGAUUAUCUAAUUAUUCAAAAUUUUAAUUUUACCGUCCAAUCUUUUUAACUUAUUUAACCUGAGUCAGUUUACAAUUGUUUGACUUCAAAAUUUAUAUGAAAUAUACUAACUAAAUCUGUAAAGAUAAACAAUAUAUUCAAGGUUUGAAAAUCAAAAUAAUAUUGACCGAUUCAAAUCAAACAAAGUGGAGGUUAGAUAAUUGAAUUAAAAUUUUGAAAGAUUAAGUAGUUGAUUCAAAAUGAUGUAUAGUUCAAAUAAAUUAUGUACUUUUUUUACAUUUUUUGAAUACCUAUUUAAAUUUAAAAAUAUUGUAAAUUCUUCUCAAUAUUAAUAUCCUUUCAGAUCUCAUAAAUUAUCUGGAUUGUCCCUCUCUUUAGCUUCU
rnacentral:lncRNA from 1 species